rnacentral:ncRNA from 1 species
CCCUUGGCCGACAGGUGCCGGGCCCUCUGGUUGACCCCCGGUCGUGCUAGGGAUAGGGAAUUGCAAUUAUUUCCCUUGAACGAGGAAUUCCCAGUAAGCGCGAGUCAUUAGCUCGCGUUGAUUACGUCCCUGCCCUUUGUACACACCGCCCGUCGCUACUACCGAUUGAAUGGUUUAGUGAGGUCCUCCGAUUGGACCCGGUCCGGGCGGCGACGUCCGAGCCGGCGUCCGAGAAGACGAUCUAACUUGAUCAUUUAGAGGAAGUAAAAGUCGUAACAAGGUUUCCGUAGGUGAACCUGCGGAAGGAUCAUUA